AUCGGGGUGUUAUCAGCACUCUUCUCAUCCUAAGCCAAAACACAGCAUUCCACCAGCUACUAGGAAGAAAAUUAAUUCUGUUCUAACUGAAACCAGGACAAGAGGCAAGCACCUUCCUCUGUAUUUGCUUGGCAUUCAUGAAGAAUACACCUCCAACUAGACAAUGCAUAUCUGUGCUGAGAAUUGUUUUUUGGCAGCAAAGGGCAGGAGGAAAAAACAUAGCAAAAACGUAUGUGGGAAGCAGACACAUUUUGUAAAGAUAUUCUUUGAGCACUUCCAAGCAAAUAUUUCCAGGGACAACCAAAAAUAAGAUGGGAAAAAAUAGAACUGCCUCAAAACCAAAAGAAAGAUUUUUCCAGUCCCCAAAUACACAUUCUUCAUGAUGUGAAUCAACAGGAAUCAGAAAUCACUACUCCAGAUCAACAACUCUGGGGACUGUUCCUUCUUCAACGCCACAUAAAAAUACCUUGGAAAUCUGUGCUGCUGCUUUUCCAGCUCCUCCCUGGUGAGUCCUGUGGCUCCACUUCAGAGCAGAUUUGCCUGAACAUCUCUGGCCUCUUGCUUGCAGAAGAGCUUCCUUAAGAGGAGUCUGGUUAUUGUCACAGUCACUGUGAGUGCUGAAGUGUGCUUAUUGGCCUCUUCCAGACUGAACCUAGCUAAAAACCAUUUUCACUCAAGCAUGCACGGUCUGUCCCCAGUACUGCACUUGGGCAAUGGAAAACCAGGAACCCCUGCUGCACGGUGUGCCAGAUGGAGCAGCUCUCUGCAGUCACUCAGGGAAACUGCACAACACAUGAAGACUGGCCAGAAGUCCAUCAUCUAUUCAAGGUAGAUAGAAGACACCUGAUAAGGUAGAGAAGGCAGAGCCAUUAACCUGAAUAAACACACUGAUGUUCUCUUCCUGCUGAAGCCUAUCACGACAGAUGACAAGAGACGCAGACAUGUCCUGGGUGUAGUCUCUAAUCGUGCAGAAGGGGAAGCAAUGCUGCACAGCAUUAAACCGGUUACUUCAGUAGCAGCAGGCUUGAAGGAGAGCAUCCUUGCCUACCUGUGAUGUAUGUAAGGCCUCCAUCACUUUCAUCUCUUUAAUGCUGAACUUGCAACAGCUCUGUGAAGCUAAGUGCUGUCAGUUCCCCAUCACAGCAGGCAAACAAAGUGCCUGCAUACCUUCAGACACCUUUUCUCCCUGCUGUGACUGAAUACAGGAGAGGCACACCAUGGUGGGGAGCCUGGAGCUGAAGUGGGAGUGGUGGGAAAGCCUCUUGUGUGCCACGUUGUGAUGGGACCUCCACCCUGAAAGAGGCUGAUUGCUGGGCUGAGGCUGAAGGCUGAGGUCGCAUCCAUAAAUGAGGGUCAUCUCUGGCACUUGUGGACAUGGGUACCUGGGUACCACCUGCCCGAAGAAGGCUGCGCUCUGCAGGGAAAUGCUGUGUACCAUGAGGAGGGGGCAGCACUCCCUUAUGUUCCUUUCUGUCCUGUGAAGCAAGCACUGUGCUGGGAGCACCAAUGCUUCCUCUGGUAGUCCAGUGUCUCACCUGCAGCCAAAGGUGGGGUAUUUUAAAAAGUAAGAUUGGGAAGAUAAAGAAGAGGGCCAGUCUUUCAGCAGCACAAAGCCAUCUGCCCUCACAGAAACCGUAGGUGCACACCUAUUUGUUCUUUUCCCUCUACACCUGGAAUUUCCAAACAAAGGCCACAACAUAUUCUUCCUCUGGACCCUGAAGGGCAGAUAAUCAUCUGCCUUUCAGGCAGCUGCCUCCUGAUAUGUACUGAGCAUGGACCUUGUGGGUGUACAGCCCUGUGUAACAUGUCUGCAAAGUAAGUAACAGACAUUUCUCUUUCAGGUUCUUUGUGUCAAUGUAAAAAUGAUACUGCACAAAUGCAUCCAAUACUUUCACAUACCAUUAUAGAGCUCUUCACAAGAUUUAUGAGCUGUUGGACUUCUACACACAUUUCAUAUUGCCAUAGCUACUAAUUAUUAAUAGCACCCUGUAAUGAAGGCUAACAGUGUGCCUCUGGAGGAAGGGGAAGUGCUGUAGCUUUUGACUCUGGCCACAGCAUUAUUCAGCAUCAAACCUGAAGGCUUCUGAUCGGCCCAAGACAUGGAAACUGCCCCUUUCAGCCUGCAAUGAAGCAGGGCAUAUCUGUACAGGAGUUCACCACCUCUUUGCACCCCUACCCCAUUGGCUUUCUCUUCUUAUGGAAGGGGUUAAGCUUUAAUAUGCCUCCACUGUUCCCUGUCUUUUCUUGUGACGCUGAGGUGGCUGUUCAGGCAGCUCCACUAUUGUGAACAGGCACCGAAAAAAAAAAAAAAUAAUGUCAUUACAGAAUAAAGAUGUUACAAAACAGAAUAAAGACUGUUCAUUCUUGAAGUCCCCCUGGUGAUGCAAACAUACUGGAGGGCCAAGAGGGAUCCUGUUCCUUGCAGUUCUGUCCACAUGGACUAGCUGAGGGAAUCUGUUCUCUCUGACUUUUUAAGGCAAAUGUAAGAGUAGAACAAGGUGUCUUUGGGACUUGUAAGAAACUAACAUGGUUCAGAGAUAAAAUAAUGUAAAAUACUUUGCCCAGGGCUGGAAGGAAGCACAUUUAUUGUGGGUUUAGAGUACUGAUCAAAUGCAGUCUAUUUAAUUGCACUUCUGACCCAUCCUGUUCUCUCUCCUUCUCUCUGUUCAACCAAGAUUACAGCUUCCCUGGCUCAGUGCAUCUCAGCCUGUCACGUCAUACUAAGCCCAUGAUGUGACAUGGGGGAAUAGGAGGUGACAGGGCAGGAACAGCCUGAUGGGCUGUGAGGCUAGAAACAGAGGUGAAGUGAGUUAUUUUGGGAUGGGAUGCCAGCAACUGACAGCUGAUACAAAACUGACCUGACAGACGAAAGGGCCAAGCUGCUGUUUUCAGCCUUGGCAAAGGAACUUACUGACCUUUAACGAUGAUUUGGCACUUCCCCACCACCAAGUCACAGAGAUCCAGCAGUGAAUGGGCUGAUCUCCCAGCCUGCGGACAGAUGAUCUUGUGUUGAAGGCACAGUGUGCUGCAGGGACACUUCAAACCUUAGCUCCUGUGAUGGCUUCCAAAAGGCCCAGGAGCAAAUUGCUCCAGGCCAGAGUCACCUUAGAUCUAGGUGCUGGGAGGAUGUCUAAGGCAUUAAUUUCAGCUCCUUUCUAGUCAAGAGAGACAAGCAUGCUCAAGGAGUGGCACUGCCCAUUGCAAGACAGACAUCUGAGAUGCCUGGAGAUGAAUUGCCGUCUGGUGCUCCCCAUAUUGCCAUCUGGUGUUCCCCAUCUCCAUACAGACCUAGAGGUGUGUGUCUGCAUGUGUGGUGGAGGGGGACUGGUUUGGAUCAAUGCAGGCAUUUAACAAUUAGAUAUGUGAAGCUAAGGGAAGUGAAUCCCUCUCUUUGGAUCUCUGCGUGUCAUCUACAAAAGAGACAGGAAUAAACUCUCCUCUCUCAAUUUUUUAUGAAUGUUCUUUAAAACUGGCAUGUCUUGUAUGGUCCUUGUUUGGAAGCAGGGACUGAGCCAAGGCUUUCAGGUGAAUAUUUUAGUUGAAGGUGGAACUUUCAGGCCUCAAGGCUCUGGAACAAAUCCCCACAAUGUCUCUGCAUGACCUGUUUCUGCACCAUCCUCCACCUGCCCCGGUGUCAAACACAGCAUCUCGAGAUCCUGUGAACCAGCUCUUCUGCUUCCUGGAGGAGGAGAAAUUCUGCUACUGUCAGUGGGAACUGUAAGUGGUGAGGCAGGAACUGCAUUUAGCUCAUAAAGCUUUUGAAACAUCCAGUGCCUAAGUGAAAUCACAGAAAACCUGAAUAAAGCAAAGUUGUCCAGGGCCUUUUUGACUUACUCUUCAAAUAGGAUUGCUUUCUAACACAAACUGCUCUGAACUAUGGAGAAUUGCUGGAAGACUCUGCAAAUUCAUUUGCCUUCUGGUAUGCAACAAUGCCUUUGAUUGGUAGCUGCAUUUUCCCUAGAUAUUUAGCCAUAAUACAACUUUUGCAGGUGCUGUUGUGACAAUACAUAAUAAUUGUUAUAUAUGGAGUGGUAAUUCGUGUGGAGAAAAAGGUUGAUAUUAAUAAAGAAGGGGGAGAUUUGGGAA